UAAAUAGUUAUUGCUUAUAUCUGAAAUAACCUCGAUUUACAGAAUUCGUUUCAGCACAAAUGAAGAAAACAUCAUUUUCUCCAUUAAAUGAUUUCCGGCUCAGUUUUAUUAACGUAAGCAUUUACAACUUAGUACUAGUACAAGACUUCAACCUUAUAAGGGUGCCAAGACAUCGGGAGGAUCUCGAAAAAUUCUCAGUUCAAACCUCGAUAUAUGAGGAGGGGCCGAUGAUGAAACUCUUCUGUAUCAAAAUGAAGCAAUACAGGAAACGGUAGAAAUUUAUGAUUCUGAAGUUAAAAUUUUAGAAGCGGCAUCUUCAUCUGCGGCAUCGUC